UCACUUGGAACCGUGCGGCACUUGACUCGAAUUAUUUAAAGACAAGUUAGCCAGAGAAUCUCGCAAUAAUCUGUGGAUCAAAACGAGUAUAUUAGCAUGGAGCUUUGGCAAGCUAAUCGUGAAAACAUCACAAGACUCUCAUAUAUACAAGUAUCACAAGCAUAAUGAGCACAUCAAACAAUGGGGCAAGAACAUUCAAUGAACAGGUUACUUCUUUCAUUCAUAUAUCAUAAUCAAUACAAGAAGAGACAAGCAAUUCUCACAUCACUUGUGGGCAAAAGGAGAACCUACAAGGAGUAAAGGGAUAGGAACUCAGUAAUCGAUGACUAGCUGGGCCCAAUAAUAACUAACUAGUUACUCUCCCUAAAAGAAUAUUAGAGACACAAUGGGAUGUGGCAGGAGUAGACAUCACUAUGCUUGAGCCAUC
rnacentral:misc_RNA from 1 species